CGGAAUUGCACGCGCUUUGUCGUUUCGCUCUUUCCAUCGCUAGGCUGUGUUCGUCGGCUCGUCUAUCCACCUCUCCGAGUGCCCUUCCUCAGCGUCCGUGGUGAAAGCGCAAGAAGCCAAGAAGCGCGGGCAUCUGCUAGCAGAAAACAGGCUCUUGUUCGCCCAUUGACAGCGUCUCUUGCUCGAGACGUCACCUAAUCAACCUAAUCAUACAGGCAAUGGGCGAACAAGAUCCUGUUUUCUGCUAGCAGAUGCCCGCGCUUCUUGCGCUUUCACCACGGACGCUGAGGAAGGGCACUCGGAGAGGUGGAUAGACGAGCCGACGAACGCAGCCUAGCGAUGGAAAGAGCGAAACGACCAUGGUGUAAGAAAAAUAAUUAUUUUUCUUACACCGUGGAAACGACAAAGCGCGUGCAAUUCCGCCAGCGUUCGCAGUAGACUCGUGCACAACUGCAACGCUACAAUUGAGGAGCACGCGAGCGUCUGUUGGUGGUUUAGGGGCCCUUUAAACUUUACGCUAGCUAGCUGCUUAGACUGAACUUUACGGCAGCCAUGUGGUGGAUUUUUACUCUCUGUGUCGGGUUAUAUGUCGGACGAUACCACCUCAACGCUAUUGAAUUCGAGAUGCAGGGGCUCAACUCAGAGCUGUGUAUUGACGCCUUCUACAAGGCCACGCUGGACACUCUAGCUCCGGAUCAAAGGAGAGAGGUUGGGUACGCCAUUGCACACGCGUUGAGCGUCCAUUUGAGAGAGAUAUUUGGCAGUUCUGUUCGGCAUAUUGACCUUGCACCAUACGUCUGCUUUGAGGACAGUUUGUGCCCGCCAGAAUACCGUUGUAUUGAAAACACCUGCAUUCCCCUGUACGACCAUCUGCAUGGGAUUCGGAAGGAGCCGAAAGUAGAGCUACGGCUCCACAACAUUGAUGAGGAGAGAAAUCAGUUGUACCACUUUAUUCAGCGUCCAUCACUGCUGAAAUGCCCCCAGGGACAAGUCCUGAAGAAUUGCUCUGCAGAUGCGGACUUCUCAGAUGAAAAUGCAGUUAAGAGCACCGUCGUGCCCGCGUUGGUCAUGCUGGUCAUAAUCCUGGUUCUGGCAACAGUGCCACAACGGCGCAACAUUUUCUUGCACGAUGUCGCCGUCCAGACAGACGAGCUGUUCAUACCGGAAAUUUGGAGACCUGACGUGGAGGAUGACGAUUGGCCACAAGUUGUGGAAGUGAGUGGCUCCAACGACAGCAGCCGAGCGCAACAUUUUCUUGCACGAUGUUGACAUUCAAAAUGAUGACCUCUUUAUACCAGAAAUCUGGAGACCGGACAUGGAAGAUGACGAUUGGCCACAAGUUGUGGAAGUGAGUGGCUCCAACGACAGCAGCCGAGUGAGCCUUGGCAGCUUGGCCGAGGAGCCUGCCUUUGACAGGGGCAGGGUCGGGGACGAUUUUAUUGCAGCGCAACAUUUUCUUGCACGAUGUUGACAUUCAAAAUGAUGACCUCUUUAUACCAGAAAUCUGGAGACCGGACAUGGAAGAUGACGAUUGGCCACAAG
rnacentral:misc_RNA from 1 species